AUUACAACGUCGUUAAUUGCGUCUCGACAUCUUGGAUAUUCUAUUCUUUCAUGAUUAAGGUCCUUUAAUUCGUCUAUAUUUUCUAUUUUCGGCUAUACCAUAAUGUUCUUGCCUACCGUGAUAUCUUUCUUUUAGACACUUUAAAACUGUUCAAAUAGAACGCGUUCGAUACGCCAACUAUCUAUAAAUAUCUCUUACAAUCGUUAAAAUCGUUAAAAUAAUAAAAACUAUAAAUAUGAAUAUCGAUACAGGGUUAUUCGUUGCCAGAGUCUUCUAUCUUUUUGCGUGCCUAACCCUAACCUAACGCCAACCUAACCCCAAACUAAUAACAGCAUUGUUCUAACAAGUAGAUUUCGUGCAUAGAUUUAUAGCAAUAUUUUUAAUGAGAUUGCUACUCUUUACGGUACCUUCAAGACACAAACAGUUAACGAGGGUAAAAAAUAUUUGCGUAGCUUGCUGGGUAAAUGCGUUUACGCGAUUAUUUUUCUCGAUAGAGAGAGAGUAAGAGAGAGACAGAGUCGCGGUUUGUCACUCAAAAUGUUUCACGUAUUUCUCACGUCCGGAAGGGAACAAUGAACCAACUUCCAACUUUCUAUACCCCGUGUACGUGCCGGUUACAAACAAAAGGAGCAAGAAAAUGAAUUCACCGUUCCCCGCAAGUAAAAAUCCACUGACGUGAUAUCUGGUGAUCUCCUUGGGGUUCUCUGCGAGCAAUUGAUUCCGCUCCACUUAUCCAUCGUUCAAGGUAACAAUGAUCGUCUAACCAUUGCCGAACUGGUUGACCAAAUCAACGAUCUCAACAAGUAAAACAUUAGCAGAACGUCAUCAUUUCGUAUUUUUGUUAUGACAUUUUAAUAAUGCAUUUUACAACCCAUGUUUGUACGACGUCUUUUCCAUAGUUUUGUUUAUACGAUAGAACAUGUUUGUAAAGUUCUGCGCAGAAACAUCGAGACACCCUGUGUCUCUCUAUUUUCCUCUAUAGUAUGGCGAAUAUAUAUCAAUGACAAAGUGAUUGCGGAAGGAUACAUUUUUUCAUGAAAAUAAGAAAAAACUUGCUUUUAGAUGUGAACUUGUAGCAAAAUAUAUAGCAGCAUAUUACGUUGAAUUAAUAUUUGCAACACGUUCACGGAUGUAUUAAUUACCAUCUCUUAUUAAAUAAAUUACGCGGAAAGCGUAACAAAGCGACGGAUAGUGUGUACAUACUUUGAACAUCCAUAUUACAUAAUAAUAUUUCCAGCUAUAAAUAAUUCAUCAUUCAUUCAUUCAUUCAAAUCACUCAAACCGCUGAAAUCGUCGAGAACUAUUAAUUCUCAUUUCGACGCUACUCAUUUCGACGCUAUUUGUUGCACCGUUGACAACUCUAUUCGAACGAUUUUUGAAAAAUUAUUCCCUCGCUGUACCUGACAUCUAAGGUACGCUUGAUUCGUACGUGUUGACAAUGAGUUAAAUUAAACAGUUGAACUAAAUGAAAAUGAGAAUUUUGAUACCGUGUAAGAAUAAAAACUGAGGAUAAUUAGUUAGUUUAAAGAGAAGAUUUGACCAGAAAUUUAACGAAAAAGGGAAAAGAACGUUCUCUUACUCGAAACCGAAAUGUUGAUUAGGCAAAGCCAUAGACUUGGAAAUGAAACAACGAGAAAGGACAUAAA